CAUAUUUGUGUAAAAUUUUACUGCUUUCAUUUGUUUUUCUUUAAAUAGACCAUCUUUAAUAUAUAUGCAUUCUUUUUUUUUUUAAAAAAAGAAGCAUUUUAAAAAAGGAAACAUUUCCCUUAUUAUCUUGUCACUUGCCAAAAAUAGAAGGUAACUUAAAAAUAAAUGCAAUCAAACCAAAACGAUGCCAUUACAUUCUAGCUAGAGUUGUAUCAUAAUAUCUCACAAAAGAGAUUGUGAAGCAGAGCAGAUGUGUUAAAACGGAGAUGUUCUACUUGGUGUGUCAAGGAUUUAAAGACUUGGAAAAGAAAGAAUUAUCUCACUAUGUGAGUUAAUAUCAUUUGACAACCUCACCUAUCAAAUUACCUAUAAACCACCCUAUGUCAUCUUAUGGGCCACUGCUGGUAAGAGUCCCAGACAUUGGGAAACAACGUGGUCAGAAACUUUCAACAUGAAGCUUUCAAUAUGAUCAAGCUGGAUGGUUGCGGGUGGGAGAGGUAUGAAGCAGUCAUCAAACAAGACAUGCUUUUUGGCUGAAAUUCAGUGGUAUUUUUGUUACCAGGAUUCUUAGUUUUCAGAAUGAGGUACCAAAUGUAUUUUUGCAAUGUUUUAAUUCCCUUCCUUAGGUAAUUCUUAGUGACUUAUUUGGGCAACAUUAGUGUUGCUAUAUAGAAUAAGUUUCAUUUUAGAUGACGUGGUCUUUCUGUGUCUGUUGUGCUCUUCGAAUGACCCAUUAAGCACAUUCUAGGUUUCAGCAAUUGAUUUGUGUGAUUUUCUGACCAAAUGGCUCAGGUAAUUGGAAAUUGAGUAGACUCUGAUUUUCUCUCUUUGAGGAAUAUUCACUCGUCCCUAUAAAACAAUCGGGUCUUUCUCUUCCAUUAUUCUUUCAAGGAAUUGGUUGUCAAUCUUCUCUUCAUUCUUGCCAGCCUGUAGAUUUUGAAACCAAAAGAGCCUAUAGCUUGAAGGUAGAGGCAGCCAACGUGCACAUCGACCCGAAGUUUAUCAGCAAUGGCCCUUUCAAGGACACUGUGACCGUCAAGAUCUCAGUAGAAGAUGCUGAUGAGCCCCCUAUGUUCUUGGCCCCAAGUUACAUCCACGAAGUCCAAGAAAAUGCAGCUGCUGGCACCGUGGUUGGGAGAGUGCAUGCCAAAGACCCUGAUGCUGCCAACAGCCCGAUAAGGUACAGACGGAUUUAUUUUAAGAGCUUGGAUGGGGAAUUUUAGAGUCAAGAGGUUCUGGGAAAGCCCUGUAGGAACCACGUUUUUCAAUUUCAAAAAGGGUUCAAGUUUAUCAGGUUCAAUAGAAUGUAAACAAGAUUAAGAUUUAGAAGACAUGAGCUUCCCUUCACCUCUGUUCCUGACUUUUUGGAUAGGAUUGUUCAAGCUACAUGACUUUGCUCUGGAGCAGAUUCCCCCAGGCAUACUAGGUGACGGAGCCCUGAGCUGGGCCUGUCUGCCUCAGGGGACUGUGGGGAAAUAUAAAUAAUUAUUGUGAAAUAAUUAUAGUAAUUGCAAUUUAUUAAAUACCUUCCCAUUCUCUGGUUACUCUAUGAGGAGGUUAGGUAUGUGAUCUAAUCAAUCCCCUCAACUUAAUCGAUGUAUAAAUUGCUAGUCCUUAAAAUGAGAGGAAAUUGGAGGCAAUGCAAGACAAAGUGACUUGCCUGGAAUGAUACAGCCACCGAGCAGGAGGCAAGGAAAGCCAGCUCUGUCUAACUGCUGCUGAGUACUUUGUAAAAGUAGUAAAGUGUCCAAAUAAAUUUCAGGUGAUUUUAUUAUUAUGAAUACCUUUUUUUGUGACAAAAAAAAUGUGAUCCAGAACUGUGGCUGGGCACCGUGGCUCACAUCUGUAAUCUCAUCACUUUGGGAAGGCUAAGGCGGGUGGAUCACCUAAGGUAAGGAGUUCGAACCCAGCCUUUACAAUGUAAUGAAACCCUGCCUCUACUAAAAAUACAAAAUUUAGCUGGGCAUGGUGGCAUGCACCUGUAAUUCCAGCUCCUCAGGAGGCUGAGGCAGGACAAUCGCUUGAACCCGAGAGGCAGAGGUUGCAGUAAGCCGAGAUCAAGCCACUGCAUUCUAGCCUGGGUGGCAGAGUGAGACCCUGUCUCA
rnacentral:lncRNA from 1 species